rfam:Ruminococcus flavefaciens 007c Rf007c_contig00916, whole genome shotgun sequence.
UGAAGAGUAAAAAUGCGUUCGUUAUACCCUGCGGGUAUUACAGUGUUGACCGAACGGGGAGUUGUCGGUCAAACGAAAAGCUUCGGCUUGCGGUUCGUAUUUUGCAUCCCGCUUCA